AUGCUCGACUUCAUUACUUGAAAAGAAACUUUGUGAAUGUCAAAACUCUCAUGUGGACUAGAAGGCAAUUUUUUUAAUCCAUACGCGACAGCAUACUGGAGUCGUUGACCUUGACUUGCUAACGGGCAAGUUGACCAAACAAAGGACGAGAAUCUUUUAGGUAGUUGUGAUCAUCCACUAAUGACUUUGUGAUGCCUGCGCUAGGAUUGAAGAAAUCACAAGUUGUAGCUGAAAAUGCAUAAGAAAUGUUUCUGCUUUCACUUUGAUGCUGCACAGAAAACGGACCCUAAGUUCUGCCCACACAGUUGCAAUCUGAUGGUGGUUUCACAUCUGGAUCAGCCUCAUGAACCACUGCAAUUUUAAGCUUUCCCGCUGUUGUUAAGGGAGAAAGCAAAGCCCAAUUUCAUUGUCAUGUUGCUAAUUUCAUUCAAAGAAAAAGAGCGUCGAUGAACCACCUGUGUCUGAAAUGCUUGUGCAUUCAUAAUCAUACUCGCCUUGUCUUCGUCAUCUUUGAGAAGUCUCUUGCAGGACUUCAAUGGCGUUAUUAGUAAUUGGUUUUUGAUAUAGUACCUGAAUAAAUAUUACAAACGAACCUGACCCAUUUAGGUUCAACAAGAUGUUUUUCUGUUUAAAACUUCCUGUCCAACUAUGCAUGAACGAGUACCCAGUGGCCUUGUCAGUUGAUUUGUUAAAUAUUGGUAGCAAAUUGGAAUUCACGAAUUCCUUGUGGAAAAGGUACAUUUUCUGCUUAGUUUUAAUUAGAAUACCAAGAGAAUUCCUCUCGAUUCCUCCUUUAAAGUUUGGAAAAAAAUAAAUCAAGCGAGGGGGAGACUGCACAAGUUGUCCUGACUUUAGGAUAUCUUGGCUUAUAAAAUGCGAACCGCCAGGGUGUUACAAGUAGGAAAGGUAGGAGGAACAAAAGAGUACCUCCUUUGAACCAUUCAUCUUUAGUGUUGAAACCUAUAGAGCACAUAGAAGGCUUGCUAAAGAGAAAGAUACAGAUGUUGUCAAAAGGACAAAGGCAAGACUCCAAUUCAAAUAUCUUCAUGGCAAACCUUCCAGCUCUAGAAAUUGUAAAAUCUCAGAACGAAAUGUUACAUUUCUCAAAUUGAACAAAUCAAUGUUUAAGAAACUCACAAGUUCCUGUACUCAGUUUUCUUAGAUGAAAUGGGACUAGAUGAAGUUUAACAACACUAUCUUUCCUAUGAAGUACCUCAGUUUUCUUUGAUGCACUCAGUUUUCUUUGCAUGCAGGAAGGUUGAAGAUUUAUUGAUCAUCCGUAGGAAAUCCUAUGAAGUACCUCUUUCUAACCAUCUAAAUCUAAUUACUGUCAGAUUGAUCUUGGUGUUAAUGGCCGCUUCAUUAUCUACAGAAAUUUGUGUUAAAUUUAUCUAUGGAAAAUAGAAAUGUUGACAAUUGCUCUCAGUAAGCAAACUAUUUCGAACCACAGAAAAAAAGAAAGCUAUUGUAAAGAAGGGUAUAUGCAAGAAGGUGAUAUGCACAAUGUCUCAUGCAUAAGGCCUCUAUAGUAGGGGGCAUUAUAACACUUACAUUGUGGCACAAAGGUGUGAGUUCAUUCAAUUGGAAGUCCCUGUGGUACCCUCAAGUAAAGAUGACUUUGCUAUCCUGCUUUAAUUGGAUAAGAUUUGAGGAAAAAGGAGAGGAAAUAGUAUUAAAUUUAUCUCUUGUUGCCUGAACAUUACUUUUUAGAUGAGCUCAUAACUAUGCUACUCCUUGAUGCCUCAUAUAACAUGACUCCCUUAUACUAUAGUGGGACAGUGAGGUUUACUGACACUAAAACAUCCUCAUGACCAUUGCUCAUACAAUCAAUGUGAUAAGAGUUGUCACACUCAAGUGAGGUGGCAUUUCACAUCAUGAAGAUGCUUGGGAUCUGGUGGUGCAGACAUGUUUGGUAUUAAGUAAAGGCAGGUUGUAGAAUGCAUUCACUACAAGCUCAAGUGUUAAAGUACAAACUUUAUAAAAAGCUCAACAGAUUAUAGGUUGCAUACAGAUUGAAAAUCAGACAAGGAGAAUCUACACAUUCCUUCACUCUCUUACAGAAAUUGGAGAUUCUCUAUGGCCUGAAUUAACCAUUCUUACAAUUCCUAAGAGAACCUCUCCAACGCUCACAUUGUUCUAGUUUCAAUCUACUACUACAAUCACCACAUGCUAUCCAAGUAGUAAUCCCUUGCCACUUCCCUCACUGCCGUAGCAGUCCUCACAUCUCUCCCUUGCAUUCUAUGCUUCAAACUGCCUGACUCACUAGUAUUGUACUCCACCUCCUUCGCAACAACUUUCUUCCUCGGGCUGCCCUUCUCCGCCCGCUGCUUCGGCACACUCUGAGUUCUUACUUUGGCAGCAAAAGACGACGUUUUCGCCAUGUAGCCCGGGCAGCUCGAACGGCUCGGAGUUGUUGGCCGGUGACUAUGACUGUUCUGAGAGAAGGGUGAUUUGUCAGGGUGCUGAUAGCAGACGAUAGGUGGAACCUUGUGUGGAAGUGGAGAUGAAGCUGGAAUCAUAGGCUCCUCAAAUACAUUGUAGUUGGGAGUUGCUCUCCUGAAUGAUUUGGACUUGAGCUGAAUUCUGUGGUGAGUCUUGGACUCCUUUGGGGAAGUGUAAGGGGAGCUUGUUGAGGCCAUGCAUGAGACUGAGCUCUCAUGAGAGCUUGCAGUCUGCGGAGGGCGACGGCUGCUUGCUUCCUCACGAGGUAGCCUCGAACGAGUGCCUGCAACUUCACCAGGGCUUUGAGUGCCCGGAGAGCUUUCUUGGCCUGCGUCACAUCAUUAGCCAUUAAUUUAAGCAGAGGAAAUUGGAUGGAGGCUACAGUGACGUUGUUUAGUUUGGUCUCACCAAGUGGCGCCUGAAGGCGGUCUGGAUCUUGACGGCGGCCCACCACGGGUAGCUCCCCAGCAGCACCGCCCUCGUCUCCUUCCCCAGGCUCUGCAGCCGCCACAUUGCCGCCUGCGCAGCAGACACAGCCGCAUUGGCCGCGGCCGCGGUGGCGACGGCCACCGCGAUUGCGUGCUUCCCGUCUUCCUCGCUCUCGUCGUAGAAGGACCUCAGCCACGCCACGUCCGUCGCCGACAGGGGACUCUGGUGCCCCAUGCUCUCGUCUUGGCGCAGCUUGGAGUUGGCGAUGCCGAAGCUCCACCUAUUCCUCUCCUUGGCUUCGUAGCCGCUGAUGCUGGCAUUGUCUUUUCCUGCCGCCUUCGCUUCCUUCUUCCCCCAAAGAACACUCCUCAGCCACCUCGUCGCUCGGCCCAUGGCGCCGGAGCUCCAGCUUAAUUAUCAAAAGCUACAAAACAAACCACAACACCUGAUCUGAAGGCCUACUACAAUUAUAAGAGAGGGUCAGAAAAAAAUCAAGAAAAUAAUGGAAGAAAGAGGUAAAUAUUUGAUUGCUCCACUUCGACAGCAGAAAGAGGCACUCCUCUUACAGUGAUCGUCUCGUGUCUCCCAAUAUUCGCCACCAACUCAGAUUUAUCGUCACAAACGACAGAGCGGGGAGGUUUUUUGCCGCAGUGAAAGGAGGAAAAAUACAAGCAAAAUUAAUUCCCUCCUCUGCCUCUGCCACCUGUAGGUUGCUCCUUCCUCGCGGCGGAAGCCUUCAUCUUUGACUCGACGCUCUACAGAGCACAGCGCCCGAACAGUGCAAGUGUGAAGAAAUCCCUCAAAGAACGAAAAAGUUCGGAUCUUUCCGCAGGCAAUGGCAGAGAUAAGCGACAGGUAGUAAUGAAACCGAGCUCAAUGCUUACAGCAAUGUCGGAUGUGGCAGAGUGCAGUCCGAGUGCGACCACCCCUCCUCAGCUCCUCUUCCUCGCUGCUCGAUUCUUUGGCACACCGGGGAGGAGGCGGAGGAGAGCGAGACGGAAGAGGAAAGACGGCGGCUUUGAUCUCCAGGCACGGCAUAUAAAAUGGCUAGGAACGGCGACAUGUGAUGACGAUGCCGCGGUGGGGGCCGGCGCGGGCUUCUCUGCCAUUGGCUGUUUCCGGAUCUAAGGCGGCGGCUCGAAUCUGGGAGAUGUGGUUUUAGAUUGUGGUAAUAAUUGGAUAAAUCGGAGUGGAUUAACCUAAUAAUGGAACCGUUUAUUCGAUCGAGGCAGCGGAGGAAGCGCGGUGGGUGGAAGGGAGGGGUUUCCGAGGCAGGCAUGACGUCAUCUGGCGUGGGCUGCCGUGGCCUUAAAUUGCGUGCGCGAGCAUCUCGCGCUACCUAAUUAUCUCGUCGCACGCCAAACGCCGAGGGCAUUUAGUGGCGCAUGCAGCGAUGGCAGCUUGAAAUUAGGCCCGGGCACGUGCGAGCUGAUGAUCUGUUUGGAAUGCACACUCCUCACUGAAGCUCACUUCCUACCUACCCUGAUCCACAUCUGACUGAGCUGAGUUCAUCAUCAACCUCCUCUCCCUUUCAAAUAACCACUGAUGCAUGCCACUGAGUGCAGCAGCAGCAGCAGCAGCUGCAGCUGCUUAAUUGAGGAGUUCAACUAUUAAGCAGAGUUUGAUCUGUUCUCUAUGGUGCAGCUUAUGGUCUCAGUAACCACACAGAAACACAAUGUGUAUGUGGAGACAAUUUGUCUGAACUGAGAGUUAUUGGGCGUAUUAAAAGCCAAGCAGGUAGCUGAUGUCCAUACAUGAAUGAUUCACUGAACUGAAAGCAGCAGCUCAAUGCACUGAAUUCAUCGAACAUAUGCAGUGUUGGGUCAUGUUGAAAGGAGAUUUGCCUAGCUCUUUCCUUCCGUGUCCUUAGGCUUCGCGGCUUUCCUUUUCGAUGAUUGUAGCCGUGGUGGCUUCGGUGCAGUGGUUCUUAGGUCAAGCCGGGCACUGAUUUAGUUGUGGAUGUGGUCGAAAACUUCUUCCAUGCACAUUGAUAGUUAAACAAAAGGGUUAAAUUGACUUGGAAAAUAUCCAUGGAAAAUAAUCAAAGGCAUCAACAAAUCAUGACUUUCUUCAACAUAGAUGGUCAUGAUUAUAAUGUGGUUUAGGCAAGACAGAUCUUCAUUUUUAAGCUAAAUUUGAGACACAUAUGAAGAUCAAUCAAGUCUAAUUGACAUUUUUUUUAUGUUAAUAGGCGACGCUCAUUAUCGAGCCGGCCCAAUAGGCCUAUGAAAGUCCAUGGUUCUAAAGUUUUGACUUAUUGUAGAAGACAAUAUACUUUGGAGAAAAA